UACGUAGGGUGCGAGCGUUAAUCGGAAUUACUGGGCGUAAAGCGUGCGCAGGCGGUUCGCUAAGACAGGUGUGAAAUCCCCGGGCUUAACCUGGGAACUGCGCUUGUGACUGGCGAGCUGGAGUACGGCAGAGGGGGGUGGAAUUCCACGUGUAGCAGUGAAAUGCGUAGAGAUGUGGAGGAACACCGAUGGCGAAGGCAGCCCCCUGGGCCUGUACUGACGCUCAUGCACGAAAGCGUGGGGAGCAAACAGG
rnacentral:rRNA from 1 species